AACCAUGUCACUCACUGGCUUGGCUUUGCCCAGUGGCAGGCCCCUUUUGGAGCCAGCUGGAACUGGCUUUUAUCUCACAUGAGACAGCUUUUGGACUCUUCUCACAGAGGCCUCGCUGCAGCCUCCCCCAGUACCAAAACCUUGCCAUGUAAGCCUAAUACAAAAAGGAAACUUUCAAAAACAUAUCAAGACACAAUGAAGCUUAUUUCCCUGAGCUGA
rnacentral:lncRNA from 1 species